rnacentral:rRNA from 1 species
ACCGUGAAACUGCGAAUGGCUCAUUAAAUCAGUUAUCGUUUAUUUGAUAGUACCUUACUACUUGGAUAACCGUGGUAAUUCUAGAGCUAAUACAUGCUAAAAACCCCGACUUCGGGAGGGGUGUAUUUAUUAGAUAAAAAACCAAUGCCCUCCGGGGCUCUUUGGUGAUUCAUAAUAACUUAACGGAUCGCAUGGCCUUGCGCCGGCGACGGUUCAUUCAAAUUUCUGCCCUAUCAACUUUCGAUGGUAAGGUAUUGGCUUACCAUGGUUUCAACGGGUAACGAAGAAUUAGGGUUCGAUCUCGGAGAAGGGGCCUGAGAAACGGCCACUACAUCCAAGGAAGGCAGCAGGCGCGCAAAUUACCCAAUCCCGACACGGGGAGGUAGUGACAAUAAAUACUGAUACAGGGCUCUUUUGGGUCUUGUAAUCGGAAUGAGUACAAUUUAAACCCCUUAACGAGGAACAAUUGGAGGGCAAGUCUGGUGCCAGCAGCCGCGGUAAUUCCAGCUCCAAUAGCGUAUAUUAAAGUUGUUGCAGUUAAAAAGCUCGUAGUUGAACCUUGGGCCUGGCUGGCCGGUCCGCCUCACCGCGUGUACUGGUCCGGCCGGGCCUUUCCUUCUGGUGAGCCUCAUGCCCUUCACUGGGUGUGUUGGGGAACCAGGACUUUUACUGUGAACAAAUUAGAGUGUUCAAAGCAGGCCUUUGCUCGAAUACAUUAGCAUGGAAUAAUAGAAUAGGACGUGCGGUCCUAUUUUGUUGGUUUCUAGGACCGCCGUAAUGAUUAAUAGGGAUAGUCGGGGGCAUCAGUAUUCAAUUGUCAGAGGUGAAAUUCUUGGAUUUAUUGAAGACUAACUACUGCGAAAGCAUUUGCCAAGGAUGUUUUCAUUAAUCAGUGAACGAAAGUUAGGGGAUCGAAGACGAUCAGAUACCGUCGUAGUCUUAACCGUAAACUAUGCCGACUAGGGAUCGGGCGAUGUUUCUAUCUUGACUCGCUCGGCACCUUACGAGAAAUC